GGUCCUUGUUAAACAGUGUAGUUCCUAACCUAACUUUUGCUCAUUGUCACACAGCAUUGAGUUUUUUUAGAUGUAGCGUGCAUGCACAGGCCAACAGUAUGUGCUUCUGUAAGAAUACAGAUCCCAUGGUGCAGUACAACAGUGAGCAAAAAGUGCUUGAGAACAAUGUAUGUAGUGACUGUUGACUACAAAACUCAUGAUAAAACAAGACUGAUGUACAGGGACGCAUGCUCUGGUCUGGGAAAACAAAUUUCAAGGUGAAAUUUACCGCUCCUUAAAAGGCAAAUGAGAUUCCUGUCUCAUUUUCCUUAUAAAUUGAGCAAAGGUUAACAGGCUGCUGCUUCACACACAGGCAGAGGUUUACUGAUGGAGGACCUAGUUUUGAAUGAUACCAUUUAUUAUGAUUGGCCGAGCUGUGCACUUUUCUACAGGUCAACCAGUUAAGUUGCUAUUGGGACUGGAUCUCUUGGGAUUCAUAAGCCUGUGCCCACCUUUCCUCCUACCCUUGCCAAUAGCAUUCCAGUUUUUGCCACCCACUCUUAAAACCUAACCUCGUGAGCUGUUGCUAGCUGCUGCUUCCUUGCAGGGCUGUGAAAGAAAAUACCUCUGUCAAUGAUUGGCCUAUUUUUAGCCAAGAUAGAUGUAUUCUGUUUGCCACAACUCUUGGGCACAGAGCUGAGGAUACAGCAAAUUGUAUCCAAACUGGAUAGAGCAAUUUUAGAUCAAUCUUAAUUAAGGCAAGUAGCAAUAUGGCAUAAACAUAUUAUUUUCAACUUAAGGGGUGUGAGAUGGGCUUCAAAUGGCUCUAGGGGUUCUUUGGAUUCUUCAAGACUCAAGCUGGGAUUCUCCUUUUACCCACUAUCCAUUAAUACGCUACUAAACAUUGAGGUCUCAGUUUUGAGAAGAGUCAAUUUGCGUUAGUUUUCAGCUUGCCCUAUGUAUGAUUUACACAGGCCAACUUGUGGUUAUACAGCAAGUUGGUUUGGUUGACCUCCCUGACCCAAUUGGUUUGUAUGCCCUUUCAACAAAAGAAGUGGCCUGUUUAAGAUUUAUUUUGCGUGUACUGGUCUCCCUUCUACUUCUGCAACAUGGCCACAGUUCUCCUGUUGUUACUACUUCUUAACAGCCACUUCUUUAAAUUAGUGUAGGCUUAAAAAAGAACACUUUGGUCAUUUGAGGAAGUUUUUGAUAAAUACUAACAGCAACAGAUAGGCUCUCCAUUCCUGUAUUUCUGCAGGGCUUUCAGAACUUCCAUUGUCUCUGAAAUUCUAUGGCUUAGCAAGAAUUUGAAUCAAAGUUUAGAUCAGUGCGGAUCAGUCUGGCUUUCACUUCCUUCUGUAUUAUAGGGGGUGGCUGCCCUGCCAUGUUAAUAAAAUCCAACUAGGAAUUUAGGCUUUUUUAAUGUUUAGAUUGGGGGUGGAGAACCUAUGUCCCUGCAGAUGUUGACUGCAGUUUCCAUCAACCUGACCAAGCAUGCCCAGUUGGCCAUAGGUUCUUCACCUGACCUCUAGAUUCUUAGGGAAGUGUCAGUAAAAACCUACCAAGCUGAUCUCUAGGUAAUUUAUCCUGAGUUGAUCUGAUGUGGCGUGAAUUCGAAUCAUAUGAAAAGUACCCCAGGUAGACUAAAUCUGCAGCCGUUUGUCUCUUUCCAUUGUUUAGUUUACAUCACAGGAAGAAAGGUUUACUUAUGCUGGCAGAAACUAGAGAAAAUGCUAUAAUUAAUUGGAUCCAGAUGUGUCCCAUCAAGCUUUGCCUCACAGUGAAACGGCCUGGUAUUUAAGCAGAAUUUCCAAGCCAAACAACUCUUGAGGCAGGGCUGUGACUUACAAUAAGCUUUUAACUGCAUGUACACUGAUGCAACUGGAGACCAUCAACAUCAUGUUGAUUCCACAUGAAAUUUAGUGCUAAUAUGCUAUUAUAAAGGACUUGCUCUGUUAAUGAGCAAUUCACUCUGCUGUACUGUUAGAAGACCCGGGGAUUUUCGUAUUUGGUUUUUGUUUGUUUUCUGCAAAAUGAGACUUGCUUUGUGUUCUGUCUGCCAAAAAGUGGGGUCAAUAAAGUGAAAUGUGAUUGUUUGCAAUA